CCUACGGGAGGCAGCAGUGGGGGAUAUUGCACAAUGGAGGAAACUCUGAUGCAGCGACGCCGCGUGAGGGAAGACGGUCUUCGGAUUGUAAACCUCUGUCUUCGGGGAAGAAGAUGACGGUACCCAAAGCGGAAGCUCCGGCUAACUACGUGCCAGCAGCCGCGGUAAUACGUAGGGAGCGAGCGUUGUCCGGAAUUACUGGGUGAAAAGGGAGCGGAGGCGGGCGAGAAAGUUGAAUGUUAAAUCUACCGGCUUACCUGGUAGCUGCGUUCAAAACUUCUUGUCUUGAGUGAAGUAGAGGCAGGUAGAAUUCCUAGUGUAGCGGUGAAAUGCGUAGAGAUUAGGAGGAAUACCAGUGGCGAAGGCGGCCCGCUGGGCUUUAACUGACGCUGAGGUGCGAAAGCGUGGGGAGCAAACAGGAUUAGAUACCCCUGUAGUC
rnacentral:rRNA from 1 species